AGUCCGGAGCAAGAGGAGGCGGAGGCGGAGGCGGCGGCUUCGAGGCUGGAAGUGAGGAAUGAAAAGCCCCAACACCCAGGGCCAGAUCUCUGUCUUGAUUACAGAGACAUUAUUUCCUGAGCAGCUGGAGGU
rfam:Erinaceus europaeus unplaced genomic scaffold scaffold00635, whole genome shotgun sequence